GGUCAUAAGUCUUACAGCUCCACAAAACGCAUUUCAAAUGUGUAAGCUGCACCUUGUACUUGCAGGGUUAUUUUCACAUCUGUACAUUUGUUUUGUAACUGUGUGGGUUUUUUUUGCACAUGUGUGUGGGGGAAAACGUAUGUGUAAAAUAUUAAAAUGUAUGUGUAGAAAUGUUUUGAAGUUGUGGCAAGAGAAGUGCGUACGGCUUGUGCCAUGCUUUACCAACUUCUUCCUGUUCGGAGCUGCGAGCACACGGCUGUGAAACUUUUUUCACAGAUGUACGAAUUUUGAGCCGGUUUUCACGUGGGGGUGGGGUCAUAUGGCGAGAGCCAAUCAAAACAUCUCUUACUGCCAACCAAUCAGUGUUUCGCGAGGACUUCGAUGGAAACUGUCGGAUUUUUCAUUCAUUCGUGCCAAUGAAACAGGAGGCCUCGAUUCAUGCAGAAGAUAUGGUACGUAACUGGGAUAUAAAAAUAUAUAUGUAAGAAAACUAUUUAACCUCAUAGACUAACCUUGUAUACGGUACAUUCUAACUGUAAGAAAGACUCUGACAUUGAUGCCUAGUCCCGCCCCCUUCACGUGCAGUUCAGUUAAGUUCUACUUGGAGCAGGGAGCACAUACUCAGCUCUGCUGCUCCAGUUGAGUUAUUACCUCAGGAUGAUUGCAUGUGAGAAGUUUGUGUGCGUGCCUUUCCACCAAGUUUGAAACCCAGACAGCACGAAGCAUCUUGCCGACGUCAAAAUCAGAUCAACAGACAGGGACAUCAGCCUUCUCUUGGGAAUAGGCCAGAUAUGCCAUAACAAGAAAUGGUGUUUUGCCCCUGCGGUUGUGAAGAGGAUGCUGUGGAGGUGGCAGCAUGAACGUGUCACACAGACAUUGGCUAAACUACUCGGCUUCUACACUUGCCCUCAGAGUUCACAUAUGGUGAAGUGCACAGGUGUCCAGUCAGGUUCAGACUGAUGCUGGUAACAAGAGGAAAACAUGCUAAUUGAUGACCUUUCCAGCAUGUCCAACUCAUCAGCAUCAGGGGAGGAGAGUCGGUGAAGGUGGUGCACCAUCCAGGACCAGUCAUGGGCCACCAACACCUCUGCAAAAUCUGCACUUCUUGUGAACCCUCUAGAAGACACUACAACCACAAAACUGCUAAUAAACCAUCACAUACUACAUCA